rnacentral:rRNA from 1 species
CAGUCGCCACGGUAAAACGGAGGGUGCAAGCGUUAAUCGGAAUUACUGGGCGUAAAGCGCACGCAGGCGGUCUGUCAAGUCAGAUGUGAAAUCCCCGGGCUUAACCUGGGAACUGCAUUUGAAACUGGCAGGCUAGAGUCUUGUAGAGGGGGGUAGAAUUCCAGGUGUAGCGGUGAAAUGCGUAGAGAUCUGGAGGAAUACCGGUGGCGAAGGCGGCCCCCUGGACAAAGACUGACGCUCAGGUGCGAAAGCGUGGGGAGCAAACAGGAUUAGAUACCCGAGUAGUCCCUGUCUCUUAUAC